AUUUAAAGAGUGCGUAACAGCUCACUAGUCGAGUGAUUGGGCAUGGAUGAUAAACGGGCAUCAAGUAUAUUACCGAAACUAUGGUACCGUAAGGUAGGUAGGGGAGCAUUCCAGUUGCAAUGAAGGUGUGUCGUAAGAUAUAUUGGAGCGGCUGGAAAAGAAAAUGUAGGCAUAAGUAACGAUAAAGCAGGUGAGAAACCUGCUCACCGAUAGACUAAGGGUUCCUGAUCAACGCUAAUCGGAUCAGGGUUAGUCGGGUCCUAAGACGAAUCAAUUACGAGUAGUCGAUGGCAAACUGGUUAAUAUUCCAGUACCGAUUGCAAUUCGAUGGGGUGACACAGAAGUGAAAGAUCCGCGUACUGACGGAAUAGUACGUUAAAGCUUGUAGAUAUAAGUUUGGUAGGCAAAUCCGCCAGACUUGUCGAAAGUGAUAGUACCGUGAGCCUUCUCGGCAAACGGAUAGUGAUCCUAAUCAUGCUGUCAAGAAAAACCUCUAAGUUAUGUUGUAAUCGCCCGUACCGCAAACCGACACAGGUAGUCGAGGAGAGCAUCCUAAGG
rnacentral:rRNA from 16 species